rnacentral:rRNA from 1 species
AUUGAACGCUGGCGGCAGGCCUAACACAUGCAAGUCGAACGAGUGGCGGACGGGUGAGUAAUGUCUGGGAAACUGCCCGAUGGAGGGGGAUAACUACUGGAAACGGUAGCUAAUACCGCAUACCAUCCGAUUUGCCCAGAUGGGAUUAGCUUGUAGGGGGGUUAACGGCUCACCUAGGCGACGAUCCCUAGCUGGUCUGAGAGGAUGACAAGCCACACUGGAACUGAGACACGGUCCAGACUCCUACGGGAGGAGUAAGUGGGGAAUAUUGCACAAUGGGCGCAAGCCUGAUGCAGCCAGGCCGCGUGUAUGAAGAAUGCCUUCGGGUUGUAAAGUACUUUCAGCGGGGAGGCGUUACCCGCAGAAGAAGCACCGGCUAACUCCGUGCCAGCAGCCGCGGUAAUAC